GGUCAAGCGAACAAGUGCAUGUGGUGGAUGCCUUGGCGAUCACAGGCGAUGAAGGACGCGGUAGCCUGCGAAAAGCGGAGGGGAGCUGGCAAACGAGCUUUGAUCCUCCGAUAUCCGAAUGGGGAAACCCGGCCCGUAUGGGUCAUCCGUAACUGAAUACAUAGGUUACGUGAAGCGAACGCGGUGAACUGAAACAUCUAAGUAACCGCAGGAAAAGAAAUCAACCGAGAUUCCCAGAGUAGUGGCGAGCGAAAUGGGACCAGCCUGUACUCUUUAUCUUCAUUGUUAGUCGAAGGCUCUGGAAAGUGCCGCCAUAGCAGGUGAUAGCCCUGUAGACGAAAACAGCGGGGAAGAACUAGGUGUACGGAAAGUAGGGCGGGACACGUGAAAUCCUGUCUGAAGAUGGGGGGACCAUCCUCCAAGGCUAAAUACUCGUGAUCGACCGAUAGUGAACCAGUACCGUGAGGGAAAGGCGAAAAGAACCCCGGGAGGGGAGUGAAACAGAUCCUGAAACCGCAUGCAUACAAACAGUCGGAGCCUCGCAAGGGGUGACGGCGUACCUUUUGUAUAAUGGGUCAGCGACUUACAUUCAGUGGCAAGCUUAACCGAUUAGGGCAGGCGUAGCGAAAGCGAGUCCGAACAGGGCGAUUCAGUCGCUGGGUGUAGACCCGAAACCAGGUGAUCUAUCCAUGGCCAGGAUGAAGGUGCGGUAACACGUACUGGAGGUCCGAACCCACUAACGUUGAAAAGUUAGGGGAUGAGCUGUGGAUAGGGGUGAAAGGCUAAACAAACCUGGAAAUAGCUGGUUCUCUCCGAAAACUAUUUAGGUAGUGCCUCGUGUAUCACCUUCGGGGGUAGAGCACUGUCAUGGUUGUGGGGUCCAUUGCGGAUUACUACGCCAUAGCAAACUCCGAAUACCGAAGAGUGCAAUCACGGGAGACAGACAUCGGGUGCUAACGUCCGGUGUCAAGAGGGAAACAACCCAGACCGCCAGCUAAGGUCCCCAAAUAUUGCUAAGUGGGAAACGAAGUGGGAAGGCUAAAACAGUCAGGAGGUUGGCUUAGAAGCAGCCAUCCUUUAAAGAAAGCGUAAUAGCUCACUGAUCGAGUCGUCCUGCGCGGAAGAUGUAACGGGGCUAAGCAAUAUACCGAAGCUGCGGAUGCACAUUUAUGUGCAUGGUAGGAGAGCGUUCCGUAAGCCUGCGAAGGUGCAUUGAAAAGUGUGCUGGAGGUAUCGGAAGUGCGAAUGCUGACAUGAGUAGCGAUAAAGGGGGUGAAAGGCCCCCUCGCCGUAAGCCCAAGGUUUCCUACGCAACGUUCAUCGGCGUAGGGUGAGUCGGCCCCUAAGGCGAGGCAGAAAUGCGUAGCUGAUGGGAAGCAGGUUAAUAUUCCUGCACCAUUGUUAAAUGCGAUGGGGGGACGGAUCGCGGAAGGUUGUCCGGGUGUUGGAAGUCCCGGUCCUUGCAUUGGAGAAGGCGCUCAGGCAAAUCCGGGCGCGGAAUUCAAGGGUGCGAGGCCAUUCACUUAGGUGAAGAAGCAAUCGGAAGUGGUUCCAAGAAAAGCCUCUAAGCUUCAGUUUAACAGGACCGUACCGCAAACCGACACAGGUGGGCGAGAUGAGUAUUCUAAGGCGCUUGAGAGAACUCGGGAGAAGGAACUCGGCAAAUUGGUACCGUAACUUCGGGAUAAGGUACGCCCCUGUAGCUUGAUGCCCCUGCGGGCAGAGGGUGAAGGGGUUGCAAUAAACUGGUGGCUGCGACUGUUUAAUAAAAACACAGCACUCUGCAAACACGAAAGUGGACGUAUAGGGUGUGACGCCUGCCCGGUGCCGGAAGAUUAAAUGAUGGGGUGCAAGCUCUUGAUUGAAGUCCCGGUAAACGGCGGCCGUAACUAUAACGGUCCUAAGGUAGCGAAAUUCCUUGUCGGGUAAGUUCCGACCUGCACGAAUGGCGUAACGAUGGCCACACUGUCUCCUCCCGAGACUCAGCGAAGUUGAAGUGUUUGUGAUGAUGCAAUCUCCCCGCGGCUAGACGGAAAGACCCCAUGAACCUUUACUGUAGCUUUGCAUUGGACUUUGAACCGAUCUGUGUAGGAUAGGUGGGAGGCUAUGAAGCGUGGACGCCAGUCUGCGUGGAGCCGUCCUUGAAAUACCACCCUGGUUUGUUUGAGGUUCUAACCUUGGUCCGUAAUCCGGAUCGGGGACAGUGCAUGGUAGGCAGUUUGACUGGGGCGGUCUCCUCCCAAAGUGUAACGGAGGAGUACGAAGGUACGCUAGGUACGGUCGGAAAUCGUGCUGAUAGUGCAAUGGCAUAAGCGUGCUUAACUGCGAGACCGACAAGUCGAGCAGGUGCGAAAGCAGGUCAUAGUGAUCCGGUGGUUCUGUAUGGAAGGGCCAUCGCUCAACGGAUAAAAGGUACUCUGGGGAUAACAGGCUGAUACCGCCCAAGAGUUCAUAUCGACGGCGGUGUUUGGCACCUCGAUGUCGGCUCAUCUCAUCCUGGGGCUGUAGCCGGUCCCAAGGGUAUGGCUGUUCGCCAUUUAAAGAGGUACGUGAGCUGGGUUUAAAACGUCGUGAGACAGUUUGGUCCCUAUCUGCCGUGGGCGCUGGAUAUUUGAAGGGGGCUGCUCCUAGUACGAGAGGACCGGAGUGGACGAACCUCUGGUGUACCGGUUGUCACGCCAGUGGCAUCGCCGGGUAGCUAUGUUCGGAAGAGAUAACCGCUGAAAGCAUCUAAGCGGGAAACUCGCCUUAAGAUGAGAUAUCCCCGGGGCUUCGAGCCCCUUGAAGGGUCGUUCAAGACCAGGACGUUGAUAGGUCAGGUGUGGAAGCGCAGUAAUGCGUUAAGCUAACUGAUACUAAUUGCCCGUAAGGCUUGAUCCU
rfam:Burkholderia fungorum strain ATCC BAA-463 chromosome 1, complete sequence.